rnacentral:rRNA from 1 species
AUUGAACGCUGGCGGCAGGCCUAACACAUGCAAGUCGAACGAGUGGCGGACGGGUGUGUAAUGUAUGGGAAACUGCCCGUUGGAGGGGGAUAACUACUGGAAACGGUAGCUAAUACCGCAUACCAUCGGAUGUGCCCAGAUGGGCUUAGCUGGUGGGUGGGGUAACGGCUCACCUAGGCGACGAUCACUAGCUGGUCUGAGAGGAUGACCGGCAAAACGGGAACUGAGACACGGUCCGGAGUCCUACGGAGGGCAGAGGUGGGGAAUAUUGGAAAAGGGGCGCAAGCCUGAUGCAGCAAUGCCGCGUGGAUGAAGAAGUCCUUCGGGUGGUAAAGUACUUUCAGCGAGGAGGCGGUACUCGAAGAAGAAGCACCGGCUAACUCCGUGCCAGCAGCCGCGGUAAUAC